rnacentral:lncRNA from 1 species
GUCGACUCGCAAAGAUGGCAGCAGAGGGGGAGACGACUCGCAUAUAGUCGGGAGUCGACUCGAAGUCUACAGGCGCAUAAGGAGAGUCGACUCGCGCAUAUUCUGGAGUCGACUCGAGGUCGAGUCGACUCGCGACUCAGUGGAGUCGACUCGCAGUCGGGAUCCGACUUUUUAACCCUAGAUUUGUCGUUUCGAAAACACU